UAUGGCGUUUGAUUGAUGGACGCCCAUUGACCUCGUCUUGGCGGUGCGCGCGUAAUCUGUCCGCCACGCCGGCGGGGAAGGCAGACAGAUCAGUAGGGCCUAACGCGGUCGUUCCUCUCAUUUCCCACUGCUGCGAGGCCCUGCUGACUCGAGCUCUGCCGUGCAUGCGGGCUGGCAGCACGUGGAUGCCCGUGGAGAUGUGUGGCCUUGGACCGUUUACGGAGCCUCUCAUGGCCUGCCUGCCAUAUUCGGAUAUUUGGUGUCUGCAUCCGUCUUAGUUAAGGCACAAAGCUUUGCAGGUCGACUGUCUCCCAUCAGUCAGUAUCAAGUGGCUCCUAACUGAGGCUGACCUGUGUGCCCGGAAGUUAAUUUCAUUGUAACAGGAAGGCAGAUACUCUGACCCACCAUGUCCACACAGGAGACGGAGCCUUCCAGACGUGACUCCACUCUGUUCAUGAGUACCAAUCCAGAACGGAAGCAGACAGAAGAUCACCACCAGAACCGACGACAUGCCAGCAACCCAACAAACUAUGGCAGCCACAGCAACACAGGACCGUGGACCGUGGAUAUGCUUAUCUCUGUGGAUGGACAGACAGAGGGAUAGGCAAACAAACAAACAAACAAACAAACCUUCCAGUAAUAAACUGAUUUCAGUCACAGAAGCGUCAUCGUCUAAAACAAGUCAUAAAUACACUACCCACGUCUGGACACUUUAUCUCUUUUAGGCAUUGAAGCUCCAUUU